AUUGAACGCUGGCGGCAUGCUUUACACAUGCAAGUCGAGCGGCAGCGCGGCCUUCGGGCUGGCGGCGAGCGGCGCACGGGUGAGUAAUGCAUCGGAACAUGCCCAGUCGUGGGGGAUAACACUUCGAAAGAAGUGCUAAUACCGCAUACGUCCUGAGGGGGAAAGCGGGGGAUCGCAAGACCUCGCGCGAUUGGAGUGGCCGAUGUCAGAUUAGCUAGUUGGUGGGGUAAAGGCCUACCAAGGCGACGAUCUGUAGCUGGUCUGAGAGGAUGAUCAGCCACACUGGGACUGAGACACGGCCCAGACUCCUACGGGAGGCAGCAGUGGGGAAUUUUGGACAAUGGGGGCAACCCUGAUCCAGCCAUUCCGCGUGAGUGAAGAAGGCCUUCGGGUUGUAAAGCUCUUUCGGCAGGAACGAAACGGUGGGCUCUAACAUAGUCCGCUAAUGACGGUACCUGAAGAAGAAGCACCGGCUAACUACGUG
rnacentral:rRNA from 1 species